UCUGUGGGGUUGGGGGGGGGUGAGGAGGGCUGUCGUCCCCCCCACACACACCCUGUGUGCCCCCAACCCCCCCCCCCUCCAUGCCUUGACUUCGGCCAGCUUGGUGCCGCGGGCGCAGUCCCACACCGACAUCAUGUGCUCGUUGGAGUCGUCCACCACGCAGAGGGUCAUGCCAUGCAAACUACAACCUUGGUAAUGGCGCUGCCGGCGGAGGGGGACGUGGAGGAGGACGACGACGCAGGCGAUGAAGUAAAUGAGCUCCCCGGAGCCCAACACGUGCAGGUUGGAGCGGCUGUCCCGGCCCCGGUAACCGUAACUGGGGGGGUUA